UGGCGGACGGGUGAGUAAUGUCUGGGAAACUGUCCGAUGGAGGGGGAUAACUACUGGAAACGGUAGCUAAUACCGCAUAACGUCGCAAGACCAAAGAGGGGGACCUUCGGGCCUCUUGCCAUCGGAUGUGCCCAGAUGGGAUUAGCUAGUAGGUGGGGUAACGGCUCACCUAGGCGACGAUCCCUAGCUGGUCUGAGAGGAUGACCAGCCACACUGGAACUGAGACACGGUCCAG
rnacentral:rRNA from 1 species